CGGGACUCGGAUCUCCGUUUCCGGUUUAGGAGCAAGGUCUAGGGUAGGGGCGGCAGGCGCCAUGUCCGGCCGGGAAGGUGGCAAGAAGAAGCCCCUGAAACAACCUAAGAAGCAGGCCAAGGAGAUGGAUGAGGAAGAUAAGGCUUUCAAACAGAAACAAAAAGAGGAGCAGAAGAAACUUGAGGAGCUAAAAGCGAAGGCCGCGGGGAAGGGCCCCCUGGCCACAGGUGGAAUUAAGAAAUCUGGCAAAAAGUAAGCCGAUUCUUGUGCCUGAAAUGAUGGUGACCGUUGAUUCCAUUCCUAUUUAGACAUCUGGAUCCCCGCUGUAACAUCUUUUGCCACCUAUAGCUAGAAUGAAGUGUUAUGUUGGAGUCUGUUGUAAAUUUAAUAAACUUUUGUAAAAUAAUAAUAAUAAUACACAACAAGUG